rnacentral:rRNA from 1 species
GUGCCAGCCGCCGCGGUAAUACAGAGGGUGCGAGCGUUAAUCGGAGUUACUGGGCGUAAAGGGCGCGUAGGCGGUAAGAUGUGUGUGGUGUGAAAGCCCCGGGCUUAACCUGGGAAGUGCAUCGCAAACUAUCUAACUAGAGUAUAUGAGAGGGCGGCGGAAUUUCCGGUGUAGCGGUGAAAUGCGUAGAGAUCGGAAGGAACGUCAAUGGCGAAGGCAGCCACCUGGCAUAAUACUGACGCUGAGGCGCGAAAGCGUGGGGAGCGAACAGGAUUAGAUACCCUGGUAGUCCACGCUGUAAACGAUGAGGACUAAAUGUUGGUAGGGGAACCUAUCAGUAUUGAAGCUAACGCGAUAAGUCUUCCGCCUGGGAAGUACGGCCGCAAGGUUGAA